rnacentral:rRNA from 1 species
CUACGGGAGGCAGCAGUAGGGAAUAUUGGGCAAUGGGCGAAAGCCUGACCCAGCAACGCCGCGUGUGUGAUGAAGGCCUUCGGGUCGUAAAACACUUUUCUGAGGGAUGAGCAAGGACAGUACCUCAGGAAUAAGUCUCGGCUAACUACGUGCCAGCAGCCGCGGUAAAACGUAGGAGACGAGCGUUAUCCGGAUUUACUGGGCGUAAAGCGUGUGCAGGCGGUUCGGCAAGUUGGAUGUGAAAUCUCCCGGCUCAACUGGGAGGGGUCGUUCAAAACUACCGAACUUGAGGACAUCAGAGGAAGGUGGAAUUCCGGGUGUAGUGGUGAAAUGCGUAGAUAUCCGGAGGAACACCAGUGGCGAAGGCGGCCUUCUGGGAUGUUUCUGACGCUCAUACACGAAAGCUAGGGGAGCGAACGGGAUUAGAUACCCCUGUAGUCC